rnacentral:rRNA from 1 species
AUUGAACGCUGGCGGCAGGCCUAACACAUGCAAGUCGAGCGGCGCGGCGGACGGGUGAGUAAUGCCUAGGAAUCUGCCUGGUCGCGGGGGAUAACGUCAGGAAACGGACGCUAAUACCGCUUACUUUCACAUGAGCAUAGGGCGGAUUAGCUAGUGGGUGGGGUAAAGGCAUACCAAGGCGACGUUCCGUAACUGGUCUGAGAGGAUGAUCAGUCACACUGGAACUGAGACACGGUCCAGACUCCUACGGGAGGCAGCAGUGGGGAAUAUUGGACAAUGGGCGAAAGCCUGAUCCAGCCAGGCCGCGUGUGUGAAGAAGGUCUUCGGAUUGUAAAGCACUUUAAGUUGGGAGGCGUUACCAACAGAAUAAGCACCGGCUAACUUCGUGCCAGCAGCCGCGGUAAUUC